CUUUUCUUCUCUUUAGCAUCAGUCCCUUGCUUGUUUGCAGUGCCAAGCUUGGGUGCUAUACCUAACUUUGGUGCUGGGUGUGGCAUUGCUACCAAAUUGCUCUCUCUUCUCUUGGUAUCGGCACAAAUGCAAUCACGAGAGAACGCCGAGGAGAGGAGAGCAAAGCCAUGGAGGCCACGGCGGUGAGCAUUGGCAGGUCCGUGCUGAAGGGAGCUCUUGGCUUCGCCAAAUCCACCUUGGUGGAGGAGGUUUCCCUGCAGCUCGGCGUCCAGCGCGACCAGGCGUUCAUCAGGGACGAGCUGGAGAUGAUGAACUCCUUCCUGAUGGCCGCCAAUGAUGAGAAAGAUGACAACAAGGUGGUAAGGACCUGGGUGAAGCAGGUCCGCGACGUGGCCUACGACGUCGAGGACUGCCUCCAGGACUUGGCCGUCCGCUUGGGGAGGAAGAGUUCAUCCUGGUGGCUCAGCCCUCACACGCUGUGGGAGCGGCGCCGCAUCGCCAAGCAGAUGAAGGAGCUGAGGGGCAAGGUUGAGGAUGUGAGCCAGAGGAACAUGCGUUACCAACUCAUCAAGGGCUCCAAGCCUACCGUAGCUACCAAUGUCGCACCCAGCAGCACUGCCCGUGCGACCAUGUCUGGCGUGCAUGAAGAACGGUGGCAGCAUGACAAGGCAGUAGCUGGUCUGGUUCGGCUGGUCAUCAAAACCAAAGUCGAUGAACUUAGAGUGAUUGCGGUGUGGGGAACGAGUGGUGAUAUCAGGGAAAUGUCCAUCGUUGGAGGGGCCUAUGAUCAUCUCAAGAGAAGCAACAAGUUUGAGUGCUGUGCCUGGGUUAAUUUGAUGCAUCCUCUGAACCCAACAAAGCUCCUGCAAACCAUUGUUAGGCAAUUCUAUGUAAGAUCUCUUCAGGAGGCUGGCAAAGCAACUCCGUCGUGUCAAAUUCUGAGUAGCAUGCUGAUAAAGGAAGAUCAUUUGAACGAUGAGUUCAAUGAAUAUUUGAGUGACAAGUGCUACCUCGUUAUGCUUAAUGACCUAUCAACCGCUGAAGAAUGGAAGCAAAUAAAAAUGCUCUUCCCAGACAACAAGAAAGGGAGCCGAAUCAUAGUGUUCACACAACAUGUUGAAGUUGCAAGCUUUUGUGCUAGGACCGAGGAGGUGGCACCCGAGCAAAUGCAGCUGUUUGCUGAUCAGACUCUUUAUGCUUUUCGCUGUAAGGGUGCUAAAGAUGGAGUAGAUUCAAUGGAGGACUCAUCUAACUUAAACGAAGACACUACAUACAACGCUGUAGAAGGAAAGAGCCUCCCUCGCACAUAUUCAAUGGUAACUGCUUUCAAGGAAUCUGAGAUCGUUGGGCGAGUUGAUGAAAUAAAGGAGAUUAUUGAACUGAUUUCAAAAGGUAGCCAACAGCUUGAGAAGAUCUCAGUGUGGGGAAUGGGUGGUAUUGGGAAAACCACUCUAAUUCAAAAUGUCUACCGAAGCGAAAAGGUUAAGAAGAUGUUUGAUAAGCAUGCAUGUGUCACGAUCAUGCGCCCGUUCAAUCUUAAUGAUCUUCUUAUGAGCUUAGUUAGGCAACUAGAAGAUUCAAAAACUUCUGGAGAAAAGGAGUUGGCUAGCAUUUUAGAAGGAAAGAAAUACUUGAUUGUUCUUGAUGAUGUAUUAUCCACAACAGAAUGGAAUGCUAUAGAAUCAUAUUUCCCAGCAAUGGAAACAGGAAGCCGGAUCAUAAUCACCACAAGGCAUGAAAGUAUUGCUAAGCAUUGUUCAGGGGAUCAACAAGGAAAAAUAUAUCAACUCAAUCGUCUAGGAGACAGCGAUGCAAAGAACCUUUUUGCAAAAAAGGUAUUUAAGGAGUCAGUAAAUUUGGAUCAAGAAGAUCUUGAGUUGAUUGAAGAAGCAAAACUGAUUCUAAAGAAGUGCAAAGGACUUCCCCUCGCAAUUGUCACCAUAGGUGGUUUCUUGGCAAGCCGGCCCAAAACUGCUUUGGAGUGGAGAAAAUUGAAUGAGCAUAUUAGUGCAGAUGCAGAGUUGGAGACAAACCCAGAGCUUGAGGCCAUAAGAGCUGUCCUUAAUAUAAGCUACGAUGGAUUACCCUAUCACCUCAAGUCUUGCUUCUUGUACCUGUCCAUCUUUCCUGAAGAUGACAAGAUUAGCCGGAAACGUUUGGUGCGCCGAUGGUGUGCAGAGGGUUACUCAAGGGAGCUAUGGGACAAAUCUGCAGAGGAAAUAGCAAACAACUACUUCUUUGAACUCAUAGACAGAAGCAUGAUCCUAUCAACUCAAAAUUCAACUUACAGCAGUAGAGGGGCUGAUUCUUGCCAGAUCCAUGAUAUCAUGCGUGAGAUAGCCAUCUUGAAGUCAAAGGAGGAAAACCUUGUUCUUAGACUCGAAGGGGGUCGUAGGCUACACAAUCAUGACACAGUUCGGCAUCUUUCCAUUACAAACAGCAGCGAGGACUGGGAGACAGAUGUCGGUGAAUUGAAGACAACAGUAGACAUGUCCCGAAUAAGAUCAUUAACAGUGUUUGGGGAGUGGAGGCCAUUUUUCAUUUCUGACAAGAUGAGGUUGUUGCGUGUGCUCGACUUGGAAGACACAGAAGGUGUACGUAAUCACCAUAUUAAGCAAAUAGGGGAGCUUCUUCACCUUAGAUACCUUUCUCUAAGAGGAUGUAUGCACAUUGCUUACCUGCCUGAUUCUUUGGGUAACCUAAGACAACUGGAGACACUAGAUGUCAGAGGUACUAGAUGUCAGAGGUAUGCACAUAGACAGGCUGCCAAAGACCAUCAUUAAUCUUCGGAAGCUAAAGUAUCUCUGUGCAAGUGUAGACGAAAACACCUAUGAAGGAAUAGCAGAGGAACUACCAGAGCUCAUUAGGAACAGGCUAUGCAUUUCUACUGUUGUGUUGCUGGGGCUUUGUCUGUUCUGCUCAGCAAGUGUAAUUGUAAAGUUUGAUACAGGGAUUAAUACCCGUGACAUCUGCUGCCUGUUUUGCUGCGGUAUUCUCCCUAGCAUUGCUAUGCGCCUCCAAGGGAAUGGUGUAGUAGCACCAAGAGGGCUGAGGAGACUGACAGCCCUGCACACGCUAGGUGUGGUGGACAUUUCAUGGCAGCCAUCAAUUUUACAAGAUAUCAAGAGGCUCACCCACCUGCGCAAAUUGGAAGUGACCGGUGUCAACAAGAAAAACAGCAAAAAGUUUUUAUCUGCCCUUGCCGCUCUCAGCCGCCUGGAAUCAUUGUCACUGAUCUCAAAGGGGAAGCUAGGUCUCUGGGGCUGUCUGGAUGCUGAAGAAAAGUUUUCGCCACCUAAGGAUCUCAAGAGUCUGAAGCUACACGGCAAUCUGGUUGAGUUGCCAAAAUGGAUCGGGAAGCUCAACAAUCUCGUGAAGCUGAAGCUAUCAGAAAUCGGGCUCAAGGAUCAUGAUGCUGCUAUACAAGUCCUUGGUAAGCUACGAAACCUGUCCAUCCAUUGCCUGCCGCGCAAGUCAUUUCACUCGCUUGAGGGUGGAGAACUCAAUUUCUCGGAGGGAUCUUUCAAAAGCCUGGUGGUUCUCAAGCUCCACUUCGGUGGGAGCAAAUGCGUCAAGUUUCAACAAGGAGCAUUCCACGAUCUUGAGCUACUGGUGCUUUCUGGUUAUAUUGAAGAAGUCGGAACUAAGUUCUCUGGGCUAGAAUUUCUCCCAAGAAUCAAGGAAGUCCAGCUCCAUGAUUAUUUUUAUGACGUAAAUUAAACGAGCAAGCCACACGAAGAUUGAAGGAGGACUUGCUGGCACAGCUUUCCGAGAACCCAAAGAAACCAAUCCUGAAGACUAGCGGGUGUUUUUAGCUGAUCGAGCUCCAUCGCAAAUAAUUGAUGAUACUGUUGUGUCCCUUCUGUUCUGCUACUUCUUGAUUGUUGUGAAUAUCUAUAUCUGUCUAUAUUAACCCCAUGCUUAGCUUUCCUCUUUGCAUAUGUUGUAAUUGUUCAAUGAACAACAUAAUUUUCUGUUCUAUCGAAUAUUUUCCUGAAGCUUUCCUUAAUCAUAAAUGCAUGGCACUCACCAAUUCAAUUAAGUGUAUCAGAAAGCUAGGCUACUAGUGUAUACUCAUUUGUGCUACUGCAGUAUUGGGUCAGUUUGGAUGGAUCAGGCCAAAUGUGUGUCGUCUGAGAGUCAUGUAGACCAA